AUAUUUGUUUCCAUCAAAAAAGUGUAAUAGAACUGGGAUUUAUAAAAAGUCAUUAGCUCUACUGAAUAUGAUAAAAAGGGACCACAUUUAAGAUAAUGCGGCCGAAGCCGACGCCCACAAAAAAUUGGUUCACUCAAACGCCUUAUUUUUGUUGGGCUCCCUAUUAAGGAAACACAAACACACAAUGUCAGAAGUAAUUUCGAACACGCCCACGCCCCAAAUGCUGACGACAUCAACGUUAACGCCUACAGAGCCCAUGCCCAUGCAACCACCACCAACGUUUUCGUCAAUAGGUGGCGGUACACAAUCUAACGAACAGGGGCGGGAUGUUAUACUUAGAGCGUCAACAAUUUUUGGAAAUAUUAAACAUGAAACGCCGUUGGAUCUCGAUAAUGAACACAACACACCUGAGACUGAGAACAAUUUAAAUUCAAACGACGAUGAAUUACAGUUUGCGGAUAGCGCUAAGAUUCGUCUUAUGCCUACUAUAAAAUUGCUGGCUACGCCACAUGCACCUGAUCCUAAACGUAAAUUUGUCUGCCCUUACGAGAACUGCACAAAGAGCUAUGGCAAGAGCUCUCAUCUGCGCUCUCACCUUACAUGGCAUACGGGUAUUAAACCAUUUGUUUGUAAGGAACCCAAAUGCGGGAAGGGCUUUACUCGGUCCGAUGAACUAAAUCGACAUUUGCGUACCCAUACAGGAGAAAAACCUUUCGAAUGUGUCCAGUGUACUAAAAAAUUUUCUCGAAGCGACCACCUCACUAAGCAUCUGGCGACCCACGAUAGGCAGCUAAAGGAAUGCACGGAAAAACGUUCGACACCUAAUAAUUCCAAAAUGAAAUCAUCAAAGAAAACUGUACCCAAUCUUGAUUAUGGUGGGGGUCUUCAUUUUAUGGCGGUACUCAGUGGAGGUGACUCAAAUCAAUCUCAAAAUCAGCUUUCAGAGCACGUGAUACACCAUAAGCCGAUAAAAAUCAAAUUGGAACGACCAGAACAUAGUGACAAAUAUCAAAUCGUACAACCCCUACCUGAUAAUCAGUUGUCCUCGUGCUUUAAUACAAAACCUGAUGUAAAAUAUGAGCCUGCUGAAGAAGUGGUAGACACCCUAUCUCAACUACCGUCACAAGAUGGCCCUGGAACCUAUGGUAUGCCUCAGUUUGUACAGGAACGACCAUUUCGAUGUCGAGAAUGUGAGAAAAGAUUUAAGCGACAAGAUGAUCUGAAUCGACACAUUCGUACGCACACAGGUGAAAAACCCUACGCAUGCCCCGAUUGCUGUCGUCGUUUCGUGCGGAGUGACCACUUAAAAAAACAUCAGCAAACACAUCAAAAAAUUCGUUAAAUUUAUGUUGUUCAGCUUGAUCCUACCUAAAUUGGUUUACAAUUGCCGUAUGGGAUGUUUAGAUCCAAAAUUAAUGGUACCACAGAACAAUGAGAAUUUGCAUGUGCCCCAAACGAUCCAUGAAAGAAGUAAUUAUGUGUGUAUGCAGUGUUUGUUCAUUUCAACGUUCGGAAAUGCAUGUCCGAAAAGUGCUUUAAAAUUGAAGCCGGUGUCAUUAUUUCACCAAAAAAGAUAUGGGAACCGACACAAAUUAUUCGCAGUUUACGAAUUUUAAUUAAUGUCCUAAAAUUUUGCGUGUGAAUUAUAUCUAUGAAUGUGUUUAGUUAACAUAUGUAUGUAUACUACGUCUAUAUGCACCCUAAAAUCAUGAUUUCCUUUUUGAGAUGAGACCACUAAAUUAGUUCUGACAUAAGUACAUACUUAUGUGAAUUUUGUUUGGUUUGUGGUUGCAAUCAUGGGUUUUGGGCAUCGUAUAAACAUUGUAUCAGAAUUGUAGCGGGCAAAUAUUUUCCACGCAAAUUUAUUUUUAAUGAUUUAUUUGUAAUAUUCACCAAUGUUUUAAGCCAACAUAAAUAUGAAUAUACAUA